CUGGACUUAGGGGAAACUUAGAAGUUAAUCUAGUGACAGAGGAAAAUAAUAUACCAAUGGCAGACGUUACUCGAUCAGCAAACUUCAGUGUUGAUGUUGUACUUAGGGGAAACUUAGAAGUUAAUUUAGUUGCAGAGGAUUUUAAUACGCCGUGUGUAGUUCAACAUGGAACAAAUGUGAGAUGGCAUACAGAUAAUGGGCCAAAGGAUGAUGGAGUAAAGUCAGUCAUUGAUGCUUACAAGGAAAUAGACAUGGAUGAUGAUGAUUUCAUGGAU